AUCCCUAGCUGCACCUUAGGAUCAUGGGUUUGGUCUAGGGUUAUUGAGUUUGUUAUAAUCCGGUUAAUUAGACCUUUGAUUGUUGGUCCUUGCGUAUAUUAAGUGUUUGUAGACCUAGAACAAGUGGGAAGAAUCCAGAAAGGGAAGAUUCAAAUGUUUUAGGGGAUUCAAGCUUGGAUUCGAGGUAGGUGAUGGUUGUGAUUUCAUGUUGGUGUGAUGUAUGUUGGUAAUUACUUCGUUUUAAUGCAUGUAUGUAUGCGAAUGUUGCAUUAUUGAUCACACUAAUCGUAAAUGAGUAUGAAUGAAGAAUUGUAUGCCAUGAAUCAACUCUUGAUUGUAUGAUUAUGAGAAAGUACAUUGUAAUUGUGAUUGUGGCUUGUUGAAUGAAUUGUGUAUUACGUUCUUACAUACUAACUUGGAUCGGGUGUCACAAUCCGACACACUAACAGUUUGGGUAUGGGUUCCAUGAGAGGAUCAUAUAAUUGGGUUCCGUGAGAGGACCAUUGAAUUGUGUUGUGUAUCUACUUGUGAUGAUUAUGUUCAUAUCUUAUGGUGAUUGAGUUUGAAAGACUGUUUGUUGCUCUAAAAUAAUAACUAAUGUGUAUUAUUGAGAACGUGGAGUGCUACAAUUGAUCCUGAAAAGAUGACUAAUAUUGUAUAUGUUCGGUAUACGCGUAUUUACUAUGUUGUGACUGCUUAUAUAUGUUUCAGUUAAUGGGAUAACCGUGUGAUCCUACCAGUACAUUGUGGUUGUGUACUGAUACUGCACUUGCUCUUUCUUUGUUGAGUACAAGGCAUCUUCAGGCAGCUACUGACAGAUUUCGUCUAGAAGAUCAGUGAUCAAUUGAAUUCAUGGGUAAGCCAAUUCUUCCAUGCUACCAUGAGUUCUCGUUAUUUUUAGUCCAUUUCUAUUCGGACUUAGACUAGUACUUUAGAUUUCCUUAUGUUUAAUUGGGUUGUACCC
rnacentral:lncRNA from 1 species